UGGGGAAUAUUGCACAAUGGGCGCAAGCCUGAUGCAGCCAUGCCGCGUGUGUGAAGAAGGCCUUAGGGUUGUAAAGCACUUUCAGCGAGGAGGAAGGGGGCGAUUUUAAUAGAAUCGCUCAUUGACGUUACUCGCAGAAGAAGCACCGGCUAACUCCGUGCCAGCAGCCGCGGUAAUACGGAGGGUGCAAGCGUUAAUCGGAAUUACUGGGCGUAAAGCGCACGCAGGCGGUUUGCUAAGUCAGAUGUGAAAUCCCCGAGCUUAACUUGGGAACUGCAUUUGAAACUGGCAGGCUAGAGUCUUGUAGAGGGGGGUAGAAUUCCAGGUGUAGCGGUGAAAUGCGUAGAGAUCUGGAGGAAUACCGGUGGCGAAGGCGGCCCCCUGGACAAAGACUGACGCU
rnacentral:rRNA from 1 species